rnacentral:rRNA from 1 species
UGGGGAAUAUUGGGCAAUGGGGGCAACCCUGACCCAGCGACGCCGCGUGGGGGAAGACGGCCUUCGGGUUGUAAACCUCUUUUGUACGGGAAGAAGGAAGUGACGGUACUGUACGAAUAAGUCCCGGCUAACUACGUGCC